UACGUAGGGACCAAGCGUUGUUCGGAUUUACUGGGCGUAAAGGGCGCGUAGGCGGCAUGUUAAGUCAGCUGUGAAAUCUCCGGGCUUAACUCGGAACUGUCAGCUGAUACUGAUGUGCUAGAGUGCAGAAGGGGCAAUCGGAAUUCUUGGUGUAGCGGUGAAAUGCGUAGAUAUCAAGAGGAACACCUGAGGUGAAGACGGGUUGCUGGGCUGACACUGACGCUGACAGCGCGAAAGCCAGGGGAGCAAACGGG
rnacentral:rRNA from 1 species